UACGAAGGGGGCUAGCGUUGCUCGGAAUCACUGGGCGUAAAGGGUGCGUAGGCGGGUCUUUUAAGUCAGGGGUGAAAUCCUGGAGCUCAACUCCAGAACUGCCUUUGAUACUGAAGAUCUUGAGUUCGGGAGAGGUGAGUGGAACUGCGAGUGUAGAGGUGAAAUUCGUAGAUAUCAGGAGGAACACCGGUGGCGAAGGCGGCUACCUGGACAGAAACUGACGCUGAGGCACGAAGCUAGGGGAGCAAACAGG
rnacentral:rRNA from 1 species